AUUGUAUGUUACAAAGUGCAGAGAGAAAAGUGCCUACUUGUAUGUACUGUGAAAUAUAUGUAUAUCAUCUGUUUAAUAUGUAGACACAAACC